ACAUGACGACAUGGUUCUACACCUGAGAAACGGCUACCACAUCUAAGGAAGGCAGCAGGCACGCAAAUUACCCACUCCMAGCCCGGGGAGGUAGUGACGAAAAAAUAACGAUACGAGACUCAUCCGAGGCCUCGUAAUCGGAAUGAGUACACUUUAAAUCCUUUAACGAGGACCUAUUGGAGGGCAAGUCUGGUGCCAGCAGCCGCGGUAAUUCCAGCUCCAAUAGCGUAUGCCAAAGUUGCUGCGGUUAAAAAGCUCGUAGUUGGACUACAGUUCCGGACUGACGGCUCACCGUCACGGUCGUACCCCGCCAGACUCCGAAGCACGCCCCGCGGUCCGUCGAACGGGCCGGGGCCCCGUCGGCCGUCGG
rnacentral:rRNA from 1 species